rnacentral:lncRNA from 1 species
AUGUCACUAACAGUUGGCUGGGGAAUAUUUCGUAGUGAAGAAAUGUUAACAUUUUACAUUUUACCCACAGAUCCUUUUCACUUCCACACGACCACACAUCCCCCAGCAUCCACUAAACAGAGCAGAACAACAUCCAGCACAUCUGCUCCCCGAACAUCAGAAACAUCAUCUCUAUUCUGUGUUCGAGUGUGAUGUAAAAUCACUAAAAGCAGCUUCUUCAAAGAGUUCAGGUUCAUAUUUUGCCAGCUGCAGGAAUCACAAACCUGACUGUUUGGUUACUGUCAGCAACUAGUGGGAGGCGCCCCCUUGAGGGGGAUUCUGAUAACAGUGUUUUUUUAUUUUUCCUGCAUUGACGUCACAGAAUUUAAAGCUGGACACACAGUUUUUUAGUACAUUUAAUUCAUAACCUGUCAUUGUCUGGGGGCUCCAUACCAGUCCAGCUCGGGGCCCUAGGCAAUUGAAUAGUUUGCUUGCCUUGCAAUGAGCCUGCCUAUAAAGACUUUGCCCACCACUGCCUUGCAUGUUAUAGUGCUACAUACAGAUACCUGACACAAGCUGCCUAUUCCCAAACCAUACAUCACCAGUUAUUAUAAUUAUAUAUUACAGCUCUGGAAAAAAAGAGACCAGUUAAUGAUUAUGUUUUUUUUCUUGAUUUUACCUAAUUGAAAACCUCUAGAAUAGAAUCAAGAGGGAGAUGGAUGAUCACAAGCCAUCAAACCAAACUGAACUACUUAAAUUUUUGAGUGGUAUAAAGUCAUCCAAAAGCAGUGUGUAAGACUGGUGGAGGAGAACAUGCCAUGAUGCAUGAAAACUGUGAUUAAAAAACAGGGUUAUUCCACCAAAUAUUGAUUUUUGUACUCUUAAAACUUUAUGAAUAGUUUCUGUUUUCUUUGCAUUAUUUGAGGUCUAAAAGCUCUGCAUAUUUUUUGUUAUUUCAGUCAUUUCUCAUUUUCUUCGAAUAAAUGAUCUAAAUGACAUUUUUAUUUGGAAGUG